UACGUAGGGGGCCAGCGUUGUCCGGAUUUAUUGGGCGUAAAGAGCUCGUAGGUGGCUUGUUGCGUCUGCCGUGAAAGCCCGUGGCUUAACUACGGGUCUGCGGUGGAUACGGGCAGGCUAGAGGCUGGUAGGGGCAAGCGGAAUUCCUGGUGUAGCGGUGAAAUGCGCAGAUAUCAGGAGGAACACCGGUGGCGAAGGCGGCUUGCUGGGCCAGUUCUGACGCUGAGGAGCGAAAGCGUGGGGAGCGAACAGG
rnacentral:rRNA from 1 species